UACGUAGGCGGAAAAUUAAGUCAGUAGUGAAAUCCUGCAGCUUAACUGUAGAACUGUUAUUGAUACUGGUUUUCUUGAAUAUAGUUGAGGUAGGCGGAAUGUGUAAUGUAGCGGCGAAAUGCUUAGAUAUUACACAGAACACCGAUUGCGAAGGCAGCUUACUAAGCUAUGAUUGACGCUGAGGUACGAAAGCGUGGGGAGCGAACAGGAUUAGAUACCCUGGUAGUCC
rnacentral:rRNA from 1 species